rnacentral:rRNA from 1 species
GACGAACGCUGGCGGCGUGCCUAAUACAUGCAAGUUGAGCGCUGAAGGCUGGUACUUGUACCAACUGGAAGAGCCGCGAAGGGGUGAGUAACGCGAGGGGACUCUGCCUUUGAGCGGGGGAACACAUUUGGAAUGGAAUGCUAAUACCGCAUAAACACUUUAAGCACAAGUUUGAAGUUUGAAAUUUGCAAUUUCGUCAGUCAGGGAUGAACUCGCGUCGUAUUAGCUAGUUGGUGGGGUAGUGGCUCACCAAGGCGUUGACGGGUAGCCGGCCUGAGAGGGUGAACGGCAAGAUUGGGACUGAGAUACGGACCAGACUCCUACGGGAGGCAGCAGUGGGGAAUAUUGCACAAUGGGCGGAAGACUGAUGCAGCAAAGCCGCGUGCGGGAUGACGGCCGUCGGGUUGUAAACCGCUUUCGACUGUGACGAAGCGUGAGUGACGGUAAUGGGUAAAGAAGCACCGGCUAACUACGUG